AUGGAUAGCCAGUUCGGUGCACUGGAAAGAGGAGGUAGCAGGCAGAGGAGGAGCCCUGUGUUAGCCAGACCAAAUACUACAAAGAGGCACAUACAGCAGCAGAGGGCAAAUGCUGCUGACAAGAAGGUUGUCAUGCCGAACUACUUCAGCAUCGAAGCGUUCUUUGUGCUCGCCUGCCUUACCGUAUCAUUGCUCAUACUGCCAUUGGUGCUGCCUCCAUUGCCCCCACCACCGUCACUGCUGCUGUUCGUGCCGGUCUGCUUGCUCAUCCUGUUGAUGGUGUUGGCCUUCAUGCCGACGGAUAUGCGGAGCAUGGCCACCUCUUACUUGUAA
rnacentral:rRNA from 1 species